rnacentral:tRNA from 1 species
AAGGGAGACCUAAUUCAGGUAGGAGACGAAAAAAAAGUAGUCGCUACCAAGAAUCAAUCCCAAAAGGUCGGAGCGAGGCGAAAUUGGCUUUCAAACUAGGUUCUGGGUUCACACAAGACCUGAAUCAGGAACAAGGGCUAUUAGCUCAGGUGGUUAGAGCGCACCCCUGAUAAGGGUGAGGUCCCUGGUUCGAGUCCAGGAUGGCCCACCUGUACAGGUGGCAAAAAGAAAGAAAAGAAGCGAGGGAUCAGCACCUUAUCUUACUGACAUAGUAAGAGAGAAUGCUGGCUCUGAGUAAAGAGUCCAGAGGAACCUUGAAAACUGCAUAGAGCUAGGUGAAAAAGCCAAAAAAGAAGACCGCAA